GAUGAACGCUGACAGAAUGCUUAACACAUGCAAGUCCACUUGAACUUCGGUUUGGGUGGCGGACGGGUGAGUAACGCGUAAAGAACUUGCCUCACAGCUAGGGACAACAUUUGGAAACGAAUGCUAAUACCUGAUAUUAUGAUUAUAUGGCAUCGUAUAAUUAUGAAAGCUAUAUGCGCUGUGAGAGAGCUUUGCGUCCCAUUAGCUAGUUGGAGAGGUAACAGCUCACCAAGGCGAUGAUGGGUAGCCGGCCUGAGAGGGUGAUCGGCCACAAGGGGACUGAGACACGACCCUUACUCCUACGGGAGGCAGCAGUGGGGAAUAUUGGACAAUGGACCGAGAGUCUGAUCCAGUAAUUCUGUGUGCACGAUGAAGUUUUUCGGAAUGUAAAGUGCUUUCAGUUGGGAAGAAAAAAAUGACGGUACCAACAGAAGAAGUGACGGCUAAAUACGUG
rnacentral:rRNA from 1 species